GUAGGUGGCAAGCGUUGUCCGGAAUUAUUGGGCGUAAAGCGCGUGCAGGCGGUUCUUUAAGUCUGAUGUGAAAGCCCACGGCUCAACCGUGGAGGGUCAUUGGAAACUGGAGAACUUGAGUACAGAAGAGGAAAGCGGAAUUCCACGUGUAGCGGUGAAAUGCGUAGAGAUGUGGAGGAACACCCGUGGCGAAGGCGGCUUUCUGGUCUGUAACUGACGCUGAGGCGCGAAAGCGUGGGGAGCAAACAGGAUUAGAUACCCUGGUAGUCCACGCCGUAAACGAUGAGUGCUAAGUGUUAGGGGGGUUUCCGCCCCCCUUAGUGCUGCAGCUAACGCAUUAAGCACUCCGCCUGGGAUACGGCCGCAAGGCUG
rnacentral:rRNA from 1 species